CCGCGAUUCGCCCUUCGGGGUGCAGCAGGCGCGAAAACUUUACAAUGCUGGCAACAGCGAUAAGGGGACCUCGAGUGCCAGGAUACAAUCUUGGCUGUCGCGAUGCCUAAAAAGCAUUGCAUAGCAAGGGCCGGGCAAGACCGGUGCCAGCCGCCGCGGUAACACCGGCGGCUCGAGUGGUAACCGCUAUUAUUGGGUCUAAAGGGUCUGUAGCCGGCCGGAUAAGUCUUUUGGGAAAUCCAGCUGCUCAACAGUUGGGCUUUCAGAAGAUACUGUUCGGCUCGAGACCGGGAGAGGUGAGAGGUACUUCAGGGGUAGGGGUGAAAUCUUGUAAUCCUUGAAGGACCACCAGUGGCGAAGGCGUCUCACCAGAACGGAUCUGACGGCAAGGGACGAAAGCUAGGGGCACGAACCGGAUUAGAUACCCGGGUAGUCCUAACCGUAAACGAUACUCGCUAGGUGUCAGCCACGGUGCGACCGUGGUUGGUGCCGUAGGGAAGCCGUGAAGCGAGCCACCUGGGAAGUACGGCCGCAAGGCUGAAACUUAAAGGAAUUGGCGGGGGAGCAC
rnacentral:rRNA from 1 species